UACGUAGGGUGCAAGCGUUAAUCGAAAUUACUGGGCGUAAAGCGUGCGCAGGCGGUUUUGUAAGUCUGAUGUGAAAUCCCCGGGCUCAACCUGGGAAUUGCAUUGGAGACUGCAAGGCUAGAAUCUGGCAGAGGGGGGUAGAAUUCCACGUGUAGCAGUGAAAUGCGUAGAGAUGUGGAGGAACACCGAUGGCGAAGGCAGCCCCCUGGGUCAAGAUUGACGCUCAUGCACGAAAGCGUGGGGAGCAAACAGG
rnacentral:rRNA from 1 species